rnacentral:rRNA from 1 species
UACGUAGGGGGCAAGCGUUAUCCGGAUUUACUGGGUGUAAAGGGAGCGUAGACGGCAGCGCAAGUCUGGAGUGAAAUGCCGGGGCUCAACCCCGGAACUGCUUUGGAAACUGUGCAGCUAGAGUGCGGGAGAGGUAAGCGGAAUUCCUAUUGUAGCGGUGAAAUGCGUAGAUAUUAGGAGGAACACCAGUGGCGAAGGCGGCUUACUGGACCGUAACUGACGUUGAGGCUCGAAAGCGUGGGGAGCAAACAGG